UGGCACUCAGGCGGCUCUUAAUAGAUGGUAUGAAAAGGGUGUCUUUUCCCUCUGCCUCACCCCUCUCAAUAGUACAAAUAAAACCCCCCACAAGAUUAAAGAAGAGAGUUAAAGCAAGAAUCCUCAUGACAAGGGGUGGCUACUCUGGCAUUUUCAAGUCUUGAGGUUGCUGUUUUCCAGGGGGUGAUGUGCAGGGGCAGACCUGCCUGACUUGGAUAUCAGCUUCUCCAUGAAAAUAUGCAGUGCCUAAAAUUUACACUGAUCGAUUUGUUCACGAGAAAGGACAUUUCUAAAAGAGCCAGGAGACUGCCCCCAGAACCAAGAGGAGUACUGGAGAGCAGAAGAUGAAGAAAAACCUUUAAACAGCAGAGCAGUGAAGUGGAGGGAGAGGCGGCCCCUCUCCUUUGCCAGAGACUCCCACUCCCAGAUGCAGGCUGGAGCGAUCCCUCAUAAUUUAAGCUGACACCCCUCAGCGGAGAUGAAAGGAACACCACUCGCUGCUCUCCAACAACAAAUGUCAGCAUCCCUGGAGGCCGUUUAGACACAAACGCAGCAUAAAUCUGACUCCUAGUGGGGAAGUCCAGAGAUUAAGUCUCCACACACAGCCUACCAGAGUGAAAUGAAUUUGCUUGGCACAAAGUUUGAA
rnacentral:lncRNA from 1 species